CUAAGGUCAUGAUUUGUAGUCUGGUUCUUCGUGAUGAUGCCACAGGACAUAGCCCAGAAUAUUCAGCUUUGUAAAGAUGGCAGCCUCCUGUCCACACUACUCCAUUUCACUGGUCAGGGCUCUGAGGCUCUGGGACACAGCCUUGACUGGGUCAACUGCCAUGCAGAAAUUAAUAUUUCAAAUAGACUGUCAGAUCUUUAUGCUCUGAAGGGUUCUCAGAGCCUGGUGGCUCAGCAGCGUAUGUCUGCCUACAGCACGCCAAUGCCAAGCAUCGACAGAGAGAGGUCACCAAGCAUGAAGCUGCUGAAGCAGGCAACACUGGAAAUCUUGGAUACCUCUCGAUAGAUCAAGAAAUCAUUUGGAAGGAGCCAUGAAAUUCCAACAUAAAAGAAUUAGCCUUGCAAAAACCUCUUCUAUUUUACCUCAUAUAUUGUUCAACUCAUAACACUGGGAUAUCUUAGCCUACAGUGAGAACUCAUUUUUAUCUAAUACACAUAAUUAGGCCAAAUCAAUGGAUUACAGAUUAAACAAGCAGGGAAUUUAACUAUGACUGGAAGAACAUUAUGGAUCAGAAGUCCUAAUAAUAUAUGGCCAUCAUUUUAAAAUGCUGGUUAUUUAUUGAAAAUUUUAUCUUGAAGUGGCCUGCAAGAAACUAGCAGCUUUUAAGUUCUUACUAAUUUACUUCACUUGACAACAAAUAUUUAUUUACAUUAAUUUCACAUUUGGUCACAUAUUGAAUGGUUACUGAGCCCUGAGUUUUGCUUGUUUUAAAAUAAAACUGUUAGGUCCUUUGCUUGUUGUUAAAUA
rnacentral:lncRNA from 1 species